UGUCCUGCUGCCACCCUCGGCCUAGCUCUUCCUCCAGCCCAUCUCCUAGCUCCACGCAGUCGCUGUCACCUCCGACCUCUGCAAAUGGCUUCUCUCUUCCUGCUCAGAAAUAUUUGGGGUUGUAAAGGUGAAGAAGGAAAACAGGCAAAGGCUGAAGACCAAAGGAAUGAGGAGUCAACAGGACUUUACAGGGAACAGCCCUCUCCACAUGGCCCUCGGUUGCCCUCAGUUUCAGGUGCUGCUUUGGCUACUGAAGAAGAGGCUGGAGGUCAUGAAAAAAAGCUUCAAGUACCGCCUUGCUGUAAAUGAAAAGUUGAACUUCCCCUGUGACAGCCCCCCGCCCCAGCUUUGUGGCUCCCACUGCACAAGCUUCCCAUCUGCUUAGCAGGACGGCGUCCUCCAAGGAGACCAGUCCUUGUCCCUGUGAGGUCGCAGGAUCAGAGGGCGACCUGACCUCAAAAGCAAUGUGGGCGCAGCUUUUCAAAGGAAUGAAUCAGGCAGGGCUUCUCACAGGUCUGCUGCCGUUCAUUUUAAACAGAGAUACAAGGUAUUAUUAAAUGUAUAUUUUUAAUAAAGCCAAUAGUUAUUUUACUUAUAGGAGCUUUAAAAGUAAGAUACAAAAUGUAGAGUUCCAGUUUGGAAGCGUUGUAACUAUUCACACGAUGUCCUGCUGAUGCCCGAGCAA